AGUGGUGGUCAUAGCGAAAGGGAAACACCCGUUCCCAUCCCGAACACGGUAGUUAAGCCUUUCAGCCCCGACGAUACUACGGGGGCAGCCCCGUGGGAAAAUAGGACAUCGCCUCUC
rfam:Ktedonobacter racemifer DSM 44963 strain SOSP1-21 Krac_Contig205, whole genome shotgun sequence.